rnacentral:rRNA from 1 species
UACGGGGGGAGCAAGCGUUGUUCGGAUUUACUGGGCGUAAAGGGCGCGGUAGGCGGCGUGACAAGUCACUUGUGAAAUCUCCGGGCUUAACUCGGAACGGUCAAGUGAUACUGUCGUGCUAGAGUACAGAAGGGGCAACUGGAAUUCUCGGUGUAGCGGUGAAAUGCGUAGAUAUCGGAAGGAACGCCGGUGGCGAAAGCGACACACUGGAUCUCUUCUGACGCUGAGGCGCGAAAGCCAGGGGAGCAAACGGGG